UACGGGGGGAGCAAGCGUUGUUCGGAUUUACUGGGCGUAAAGGGCGCGUAGGCGGCGUGACAAGUCACUUGUGAAAUCUCCGGGCUUAACUCGGAACGGUCAAGUGAUACUGUCGUGCUAGAGUACAGAAGGGGCAACUGGAAUUCUCGGUGUAGAGGUGAAAUUCGUAGAUAUCGGGAGGAACACCGGUGGCGAAGGCGGCGACCUGGGUCGAGACUGACGCUGAGGCGCGAAAGCGUGGGGAGCAAACAGG
rnacentral:rRNA from 1 species